rnacentral:rRNA from 1 species
GACGAACGCUGGCGGCGUGCCUAACACAUGCAAGUCGAGCGGAGACAGUGAGUAGCUUGCUACGAGCUGUUUUAGCGGCGGACGGGUGAGUAACGCGUGAGCAACCUUUCCCAGACGGGGGAAUAACACACCGAAAGGUGUACUAAUACCGCAUAAGACCACGGGAUCACAUGGUUCUGGGGUAAAAGAAUUAUCGGUUUGGGGUGGGCUCUCGUCCGAUUAGGUAGUUGGUGAGGUAACGGCCGACCAAGCCGACGAUCGGUAGCCGACCUGAGAGGGUGAUCGGCCACAUUGGGACUGAGACACGGCCCAAACUCCUACGGGAGGCAGCAGUGGGGAAUAUUGGGCAAUGGAGGAAACUCUGACCCAGCAACGCCGCGUGGAGGAAGAAGGUUUUCGGAUCGUAAACUCCUGUCCUUGGAGACGAGUAGAAGACGGUAUCCAAGGAGGAAGCCCCGGCUAACUACGUGCCAGCCGCCGCCGUAA